CCUACGGGGGGCAGCAGUGAGGAAUAUUGGUCAAUGGCCGGAAGGCUGAACCAGCCAUGCCGCGUGAAGGUCAGUGCCCUAUGGGCGUUAAACUUCUUUUGUGCGGGAGCAAUAAUGGUCACGUGUGGCCAGACGAGAGUACCGUACGAAUAAGCAUCGGCUCACUCCGUGCCAGCAGCCGCGGUAAUACGGGGGAUGCAAGCGUUAUCCGGAUUUAUUGGGUUUAAAGGGUGCGUAGGCUGUGAGGUAAGUCAGCGGUGAAAUGCCCCCGCUCAACGGGGUGAAGUGCCAUUGAUACUGCCUGGCUGGAAUGCGGAUGCCGUGGGAGGAAUGUGUGGUGUAGCGGUGAAAUGCAUAGAUAUCACACAGAACACCGAUUGCGAAGGCAUCUCACGAAGCCGCGAUUGACGCUGAUGCACGAAAGCGUGGGUAUCAAACAGGAUUAGAUACCCCAGUAGUC
rnacentral:rRNA from 1 species